rnacentral:rRNA from 1 species
GACAGAGGGUGCAAACGUUGUUCGGAAUUACUGGGCGUAAAGCGCGUGUAGGCUGCUCGGAAAGUCGGAUGUGAAGGCCCUGGGCUCAACCUAGGAAGUGCAUUCGAAACUUCUGAGCUGGAGUGCUGGAGAGGAAGGCGGAAUUCUCGGUGUAGAGGUGAAAUUCGUAGAUAUCGAGAGGAACACCGGUGGCGAAGGCGGCCUUCUGGACAGUAACUGACGCUGAGACGCGAAAGCGUGGGGAGCAAACAGG